UUUGUGAGCAUUUGUGUGGACCAAUGUGUGUCCCCCAAGGCUGCAAAGCAUGAAUGGAGUCUGAGACAAGAUAAACCUUGAGAGAGCCUUCUAACCGUCUGGCAGCGGACAAAGACCAUCAGGAGAGCGGUCAGAAUGGAGCCAUUUGUCACAAUGCAGGCUGAUGAUCCACACCUGCUUUGCCUCAGCGAUCGAGCUCACCCGGUCCUCAUCACCGUCACCUCACAGUAGAUCUGCUCUGCGCUGAUCAUCAGUCCCUGCCAGAUCGUCUCUCUGCACACGGUUUCUACAAGCCAGCUUGCCACGCCAACCAAGUCCACCAGCAGUUCACCAUCCUGGAUCCCUGUUUCACCGGACUGUUUUCACCAUCACCAUCUCUGUUAACAAUAAAUAUUGUUUCUUCUGCCAGGUUCAGAGUCUGCUCCUUGGGUUCUGCUGCUAAACCUGACACCACUGGUCCUUCUUACCCACCCAUUAGACUGUGCAACUCUGCCCUGGGCUGAUACUCCCCCACAACCCACCCCUUCU